rnacentral:misc_RNA from 1 species
GUUGGGGGUGAUCCGCAGGAAGGAGGCGAAAAUGGUCUCCACGUGGCAGUUAUGGCCGAUAAGAGGGUAGGGGCUGUAGGGACGAUUUAACGUCUUUAAGGCAGGGAGGAAAACGUCACGUGCACCACCAAUGACGUCGAGUGAAGGAUGCGGAGUUUUAUCGUCGGCCAUUUGGGUGGCUAUAGCUGCGUUGUGGAUGGCGGAGAAGGGGUGGAGCGAGGGAGCCGGGCGACGGAAGAGGGAGAGAG